UGUCUUUUUGAAAAUAAUAUAAAGUCUAAUCUGCCCACUGAUUUUAAUUGAAGGGCUGCAGUAUAUUGACUGUACAAAGGUAGCAUAAUCAUUAGUCAUUUAAUUGGUGACUUGUAUGAAGGAUUGGAUGAGAUAUAAUCUGUCUCUUAAUUAUAAAAUAGAAUUUAAUUUUUUAAUUAAAAAGUUAAAAUAUGUUAAAAAGACGAGAAGACCCUAUAGAGUUUUAUAAUUUAAGAUAAUUAAGAUUAUUUAUAAAAUAAAAAUUGAAAUUAUUUUAUUUAUUUUGUUGGGGUGACAGAAAAAUAUAAAAAACUUUUUAUAUAGAGAAACAUUGAUAAAUGAUUAGAUGAUCCAAUAUUAUUGAUUAUAAGAAAAAAUUACCUUAGGGAUAACAGCGUAAUUUUUUUUUUUAGUUCACAUAAAAAAAAGAGUUUGCGACCUCGAUGUUGGAUUAAGAUAAAAUUUAAAUGCAGAAG
rnacentral:rRNA from 1 species